AUUGAACGCUAGCGGGAGGCUUUACACAUGCAAGUCGAACGAGUGGCGGACGGGUGAGUAAUAUAUCGGAACGUGCCCAGUAGCGGGGGAUAACUACUCGAAACAGUGGCUAAUACCGCAUACUAUUGGAGCUGCCGAUAUGGGAUUAGCUAGUUGGUGGGGUAACGGCUCACCAAGGCAACGAUCCGUAGCUGGUUUGAGAGGAUGACCAGCCACACUGGGACUGAGACACGGCCCAGACUCCUACGGGAGGCAGCAGUGGGGAAUUUUGGACAAUGUGGGAAACCCUGAUCCAGCCAUUCCGCGUGUAUGAGAAGGCCUUCGGGUUGUAAAGUACUUUUAGCAGAGAAGCGGUAUCUGCAGAAUAAGCACCGGCUAACUACGUGCCAGCAGCCGCGGUAAUUC
rnacentral:rRNA from 1 species